UGGGGAAUAUUGCACAAUGGGCGCAAGCCUGAUGCAGCCAUGCCGCGUGUAUGAAGAAGGCCUUCGGGUUGUAAAGUACUUUCAGCGGGGAGGAAGGCGAUAAGGUUAAUAACCUUGUCGAUUGACGUUACCCGCAGAAGAAGCACCGGCUAACUCCGUGCCAGCAGCCGCGGUAAUACGGAGGGUGCAAGCGUUAAUCGGAAUUACUGGGCGUAAAGCGCACGCAGGCGGUGUGUCAAGUCGGAUGUGAAAUCCCCGGGCUCAACCUGGGAACUGCAUUCGAAACUGGCAGGCUAGAGUCUUGUAGAAGGGGGUAGAAUUCCAGGUGUAGCGGUGAAAUGCGUAGAGAUCUGGAGGAAUACCGGUGGCGAAGGCGGCCCCCUGGACAAAGACUGACGCUCAGGUGCGAAAGCGUGGGGAGCAAACA
rnacentral:rRNA from 1 species